AUGAGCAUCCUCCUCCUCCACCUCCCUGUCACCAUUGCUGCUGUUGCACCUAGUACAUUUUCAUGGGUUGAAGAAGCUGAACAACACAACAACUAUGGGAGAACUGUCCUAUCCAAGUCAAGCACAAGAUAUUUUUGGGUUCCGGUUCAGACAGAGAGAUCAUCAACAACAGGUCAAUUUGGAUAUGUCUAUUUCGCUGGAUAUGUCCAUGUUUGA